rnacentral:rRNA from 1 species
GGCCUACCAUGGUGGUAACGGGUAACGGGGUGUUAGGGCACGACACCGGAGAGGGAGCCUGAGAAACGGCUACCACAUCCAAGGAUGGCAGCAGGCGCGCAAAUUACCCAAUCCCGACACGGGGAGGUAGUGACAAUAAAUAACAAUACGGGGUUCUUUAGGAUCUCGUAAUUGGAAUGAGUACAAUUUAAAUCUCUUAACGAGGAACAAUUGGAGGGCAAGUCUGGUGCCAGCAGCCGCGGUAAUUCCAGCUCCAAUAGCGUAUAUUAAAGUUGUUGCAGUUAAAAAGCUCGUAGUUGAACUUCGGGGUCUACCCAUUGGUCAGGCUUAAUUGUCUGCACUGGUGAGAUGGAUCUCUACCUUCUGAGGAACUUUCAUGCCAUUUAUUUGGGGUGGUUGGAAAUCAGGACUGUUACUUUGAAAAAAUUAGAGUGUUUAAAGCAGACUAUCGUCUGAAUACAUUAGCAUGGAAUAAUGAAAUAGGACGGACUGAUUCUAUUUCGUUGGUUUCUAGGAUCACCGUAAUGAUUAAUAGGGAUAGUUGGGGGCAUUAGUAUUCAAUUGUCAGAGGUGAAAUUCUUGGAUUUAUUGAAGACUAACUACUGCGAAGCGCAGUUUGCCAAGGAUGUUUUCAUUAAUCAAGAACGAAAGUUAGGGGAUCGAAGACGAUCAGAUACCGUCGUAGUCUUAACCAUAAACUAUGCCGACUAGGGAUCGGACGAGGUUAAUUUUAUAAUGACGCGUUCGGCACCUUACG